rnacentral:rRNA from 1 species
UCAAGCAGAAGACGGCAUACGAGAUAGCGUAGCGUCUCGUGGGCUCGGAGAUGUGUAUAAGAGACAGGUCCUAAGGCAAGGCCGAAAAGCGUAGUCGAUGGUAAGCAGGUUAAUAUUCCUGCACUACUCGAUGCAUUCGAUGGAGUGACGCAUUCUAGUAUUCUUCGCGCAUUAUUGGAUUUGCGUUCUUUUCGUGAGGGUGUUUCUUUGGUAAAUCCGGGAAGCAUCAACCCAAGCGAUGAGACGACCGUGCGCAACACAGAGUAAUGACGCCAAAAUAGUUUUUCUUUGAUAUUGAGAAUGUCAAAGUAUUUAUUUUGGAUGUUCUGUGUUGCGCGUGGGAGGAGGGAAAGCAGGGUGCCAGGAAAAACUUCUAAGUUAUGUGCAUCGGUAACCGUACUAAAACCGACACAGGUGGACUGGGCGAGUAGCCUAAGGUUAACGAGAGAACCUUCGUUAAGGAACUCGGCAAAAAAGCUAGGCGUACGUUUGCAAUAUGCCUUCCCAGCACUGUCAAAGGUGCUGGGCGCAGCGAAAGUUUCCCAAGCGACUGUUUACCAAAAACACAGGUCUCUGCAAACCCGCAAGGGGAAGUAUAGGGGCUGACGCCUGACCAGUGCUGGAACGUUAACGGGAGCGGUUCACGCCAAUCCCCGAAGCGCCAGUGAACGUCGGCGAUAACUAUAAUCGUCCUAAGGUUUCGGUGAUUUUCGUCUUUAUUGACAAAGUCAUCGGAAGGACUGGGACGAUUAUGGCGAAGUUUUGGUGAAUACAAUGAAAAUUGAUUGAUGCAAUGCUGCCUCGUUUUAUGGUGACAUAAAAUAAGGUCCUUAAAAUACACGGCCAUAUGCUGGGAAGUCUCAUCUGCAAAAAUGAGGCGAUCAGCAGGGAAGAUCCCACUUAUUAUUAGUGGGAAACCCUCAGAUACCAAACGCCGUGCUUCCGAAAUGUAUUUUUUGGAAGAAGAUAUGGUACAUCGCCAGAGGAAGCGAUCAGCGAAAUUCCUUGUCAGGUAAAUUCUGACCCGCAUCAAAGGCGUAACGACUUGGGAACUGUCUCAACGAAGGACUCGGUGAAAUCGCAAUGACGGUAAAGAUGCCGUCAACCUGCAGCAAGACGAAAAGACCCCGUGGAGCUUUACUAUAGCUUGGUAUUGAAUAGGAGUUGAAGUUGCCGAGAUUAGGUGGAAGGCUUUGAAGUCCCGAUUCUGGUUGGGAUGGAGCCGACAAGUGGAAUACCACCCUGAUUCGAUUUUUAUUCUCACCCUGGGCCGUUAGUUGGUUUCUACAAUGCCCGUGUUUCCGUGUAUUCGGAAAUUAUGGUUGUUAUUUGCCGUUAAAUCGUUCUAGAAAUCAACUACCGGUCCGGGGACAGUGCCUGGUGGGUAGUUUGACUGGGGCGGUCGCCUCCUAAAAGGCAACGGAGGCGUUUACAAAGGUAGGCUAGGUCCGGAUGGAAAUCGGUCCGAUAGCGCAAAAGCACAAGCCUGCUUUACUGAGAGACCUAUACGUCGAUCAGUCACGAAAGUGGAAUUUAGUGAACCGACCAUCCCUCGUAGGAGGGUGGAAGAUCAACAGAUAAAAGUUACCCCGGGGAUAACAGGCUAAUCACUCCCAAGAGUCCACAUCGACGGAGUGGUUUGGCACCUCGAUGUCGGCUCAUCGCAUCCUGGGGCUGGAGAAGGUCCCAAGGGUUUGGCUGUUCGCCAAUUAAAGCGGUACGCGAGCUGGGUUCAAACCGUCGUGAGACAGGUUGGUCUCUAUCUGCUGUAGGCGUCAUUACUUGAGAGGAGUCUUUCCUAGUACGAGAGGACCGGAAAGAACGAACCUCUGGUGUAUCGGCUGUUCCGCCAGGAGCACUGUCGAGUAGCUAUGUUCGGACCGGAUAACUGCUGAAAGCAUCUAAGCGGGAAGCCGACCUCAAGAUAAGGUAAUUGUCCCGAUUUAUCGGGACGGAACAUCCUCGGAGCUGUCUCUUAUACACAUCUGACGCUGCCGACGAAUAGAGAGGUGUAGAUCUC